GAAGCUCCAUAUUUGAUGUUUCAUGAUCGCGGCGAAGACAGCGCGCAUGCAUGUUGCAGAUCGGGCAGUGACAGCAGGCUAUUGGAGACGAGAACUUUGCUGAAGGCGCGUCCUCGCACCCUAGCAAGUAAAAGGACUCUCGUGUAUCGUGUGUGCCUCUGGUCGUGUAUUUCAUUUAUCUAAGUUAGAAAUAAAUUCGAACGGAAGGUUGACAGCGGCUUUGAAGACCUGAAGAUGGAGUUGAAGUUUCGAUUUUUCCCCUGUUUUGACUGGCGUACUUGAAAUAUAGUAUGACGAAAUGGGGAAAAAACUUGUUUUGAUCUUUAUGUUUAAAUUGCUUCUUUAAAGUCUGAAGAGUUUUGAAAUUGCUGGAUGAGAUGGACGUUGCAGUCAAAAGUAGGCCAUGUCUGUUUUGACUACAAGCAUCUAUCAUCUUCAUAUUUCCAUUUUAGACAAAACGUAUGGGAGUAUGGAAAGAGUAGUGAAUAUGGUGAUCAUGAAUGUGUGCAAGAAUUCUGCGCAAUGGACAGAGACUUAAAGGAGCUUCCUGAGCUGGUGAAGAAACACAAUGGGUCAGAAAUCAAACUAAAAGAACCAAAAGGCUAUGCAAUCAGAAUCACAGAUCUGGAUGGAACUGUCUACUGGGGAAGAGAUGAGAUGCUGGAGAGCUGGAGUGAGCUGUACCUUCCUGAGCCAAUGGAGAUGGUCGUCAUUGGUGCCAUUGAUAACUUCCCGUCUUUGGCAGAGGGACUGCAGCUCAUCGUGCUGGUAGACAGCCAGGGCAAAGUCUACUUCUAUGAGAAUGAGGUCCUGCAUCUUAUAGCCUGCAGCUUGAAUGACUUCUUCAAGGAGGGUGCGACGUCUCCUCCCAUUACUAGCUAUAAAUAUGGACAGUACCUGUAACAGUGUGAAGAGGAGUAUUUGAGCCUGUCAAAGACGGAGAAAAUUAAAGAGGACUUGCAAAACUGUUACGAUCUGUUGAAUGCGGGUAAGGCGAACGGGCAGGUAAGCAGGCAGAGAGCAGGCAAAGUCGGGCAAACGGGGAUUUAUAUGUUUCCUAUCAGGAACAGGAAACAUCGGACGCCAAUUAACAUCAAUGACAGACAAUGAACUGAGGCAAGACGGGGACUGAAAUAGACUAGACAACAGGGUACAGCUGGGUACAAUCAGGGAAGCACUCGUGGAUAAUCAGGGGGGUGUGGCACACACGAGGAUCGUACGAGCCGGGCAUGACAAGAACAAGGACAAGGAUGUAAAAAAAGGCAUAGUUCCAAAUAUCCAAAUAGUUGGAUUUCCUUUGCCGUUUCUUAAUCUUGGGUAGAUAGGAGCUUCACAGUUUCUCUUUCACAGCACAGUAUCGCUCUAGAGUGUAUACUUGUAUAUUUGAAUGAAAUGUAAAUUUGUUUCUUUUGGUAAUUAUGCUUGUUGCCAUUUAUGUAUUGCCUGUAAGUUUGCAGAGCGACACUUAGGCCGCUGAGGAAAGAGUGCAGGCUAAAGUGCACAGAACAUGUUUUCUUGCUGAUAGAUGCUAACCGCAGAGUUUCAGUUCAGUUAAAGCUAUUUUGAAAUAGAUGUUGCUAAAUCGCAUAUGCUUGUACGUCUAAUCGUUUUGUUCCGCGUAGCAACAGCAGGCAUUAUUAGAAACGCUCAUGUGUUAUUGACAAUAUAUGGUAUUACUGUAUCAUGUGACACCUCUACUGCUAUGCAAAUGGAAGUGCUUAAGAAAAGGUACUGCGAGAGAAGCCCUCCUCCGAAGUCGGCUGAAUUGAGUCAAGAGACAAGUCUCUGUGACCGGACUGGGCUUCCCUUCAGUGAGAUAAAGAGAUCACCAGUGUGGCGUUUUGCUUUGUAUCCAGAGACUGGUCACCCAGCAGGGGUUCAACACCUAAGCUGAACCCAGCAGUUUCCCUCUCAUUCAGAAUGUUAUUUCAGUAGGUUUAGUGUUGUGCUGUAGAACUUGCUAGCCAUUUAACACCCAUCCACAAAUCUAACUGCGUGGCUUGGAUUGUUUUGUUUUUUAAAAAAAUCAAGAUCCUUUUUAGAUAGAUCAUUUUCCUUUGUAUAUCUUUUUGUAGAAAUGAGUUGCCUUUUGCUUAAUUUUCAUGAGUAACCAUGCAUUCUGUAAAUCAUUUAUGUCAGUGCACCUGAUCAAUGAGGAAAUGCUUGAUGGUAAAAAAUUCAGCAUUAAAUAGAAACCUUGAGAUGGAAUUCUUGCAAAAAGAAAUAUGAGACUUCAUUUUUGUGUGGUUUUUCAUUAAAAUUCCAAGCAUUUUUGUAUUUUAAUGUAUAACAUAUUGGUGCAGUGGUUAGCACUGUUGCCUCACACCUCUGGGACCCGGGUUCGAGUCUCCGCCUGUGUUACAUGUGUGUGGAGUUUGCAUGUUCUUCCCAUGUCGUCGUGGGGUUUCCUCCGGGUACUCCGGUUUCCCCCCACAGUCCAAAAACAUGCUGAGGCUAAUUGGAGUUGCUAAAUUGCCCGUAGGUGUGCAUGUGUGAGUGACUGGUGUGUGAGUGUGCCCUGCAAUGGGCUGGCCCCCCAUCCUGGGUUGUUCCCUGCCUCGUGCCCAUUGCUUCCGGUAUAGGCUCCGGACCCCCCGCGACCCAGUAGGAUAAGCGGUUUGGAAAAUGGAUGGAUGGAUGGAUGUAUAUUAUAUAUAAUGUGUGUUAUAUUUCAUAUUGUCAUGCCCUGCUCGUCGGCUCCUCCUGUGUGCCACGCCCCCUGCUUACCCACGUGUGUUUCCCGGAUUGUACCCAGCUGUGUCUGCUUAUUUUCAAUCAGUCCUGUGUAUUUCAGUCCGUGUCUUACCCGAGUCCUUGGUCCGUCAUUGAUGUUGUCAAUGUCUGUUUCCCGUCCUGCUCCGGUUUCCCCGAAUAAACCCCCGUUUUCCCGUAUCCCGCUUGCCUGCCUGCUCCUUCCGCACGAUCGCCGCUCUGCCCGCGAUCACCUGUGACAGAAUGACGGACCGCAACAAGGCUGAAUACAUCUCCGAGGAGGAGUACUUCCGCCUCGGAGAACAGGUGGUUUUCUGGAGAUCCCAACCCGGUAUCUCGGAAGAUCUACCUGCGUGGAGCCUCGUCCUCCGGUGCGAGAAGACCCUCGGGGAGCUAGCCCUCGACCUAGAAGCCCGCUUGGCCGAGGAGCUGCGCGAGGGCGGAUAGCUCAGCUCCGGACCAAGCGCUCAGUCGCUCCCAGCGAGCGGGGACCAGUCCUUCCGCCGUCUGCAUUGGCGGACGUAGCUCCACCUCCCGCCGCUACCAAGAGCCGGAGGAGCAGACGGAAGGAACCGGCGAUCGCCCCGACGAUCGCCUUAAGGGCAUGUGCCCUCAUCCCGGCGGCCCUCCCGGAGGAGGAUCGGGAUGUCUCCCCAAUCGCCCGGAUGGUCCCUAGCUCUGCUAA